GACGAACGCUGGCGGUGUGCUUCACACAUGCAAAUCGAACGAGGUAGCAAUACCUAGUGGCGGACGGGUGAGUAACGCGUGGGAAUCUGCCUUUAGAUGGGGGAUAACGGGCCGAAAGGUCCGCUAAUACCGCAUAUGCCGCAAGGUGAAAGGAGUAAUCCGUCUAAAGAUGAGCCCGCGUCCGAUUAGCUAGUUGGUAGAGUAAGAGCCUACCAAGGCGACGAUCGGUAGCUGGUCUGAGAGGAUGAUCAGCCACAAUGGGACUGAGAAACGGCCCAUACUCCUACGGGAGGCAGCAGUGGGGAAUUUUACGCAAGGGGGGAAACCCUGACGUAGCGACACCGCGUGAGCGAAGAAGCUCUUUGGGGUGUAAAGCUCUGUCAGCUGGAACGAAAACAAUGACGGUACCAGCAGAGGAAGCAUCGGCUAACUACGUGCCAGCCGCCGCCGUAA
rnacentral:rRNA from 1 species